GUGAUCUCGGCCGUCCUACCCGCUGCUGCGUCGCCGGCCGUGAACGUCGCCAGCGUGCGUACUCACGUUCCCGUCACCCUGGACCUCCAUGCUUCCAACUUCACCAAGUGGAGGAUGCUGGUUCGCGUCCUUCUCGGCAAGCACGAUCUGCUCUCCCACGUCAACGCUGUCACUGCCGAGGCGGACCGCACCCCGGACUGGACUCGUGAGGACUAUAUUGUCCGCUCGUGGCUUUACGGGUCCAUCUCCGACGAGAUUCUAGACAUUAUUAUGGCGGAGGACCAAACUGCUCAGGAGGCUUGGACGCUCAUCUCCAAUCUUUUCCUGGACAAUCAGUUGACCCGCGCGGUCUACCUCGAGGCGGAAUUCCGCGGCCUCGCCCAAGGCGAUCUCUCCAUCACCGCCUACUGUCACCGUCUAAAGGCACUCUCCGACGCCCUGAGCGAUGUCGGCACUCCCGUCUCCGACCAAACUCUCGUCCUCAACUGCCUUCGAGGGCUCAAUCCGCGCUUCUCGGACAUCACGACUAUCGUGACUAUGCAGAACCCUCUUCCGUCUUUCAGCCAGACGAGGUCCCUGCUGACUCUCCGCGAGACUCAACUCGCGAACUCCAUCGCGAUUGGGAACCAGACUGCCCUCUAUGGCAGUACGCCCUCCCAUGGCACCGGCGGCUCCAACUCCUCU
rnacentral:rRNA from 1 species